AUCCGGCUGAAGGAUUGGCCCGCGUCUGAUUAGCUAGUUGGUGAGGUAACGGCUUACCAAGGCGACGAUCAGUAGCUGGUCUUGAGAGGAUGAUCAGCCACACUGGGACUGAGACACGGCCCAGACUCCUACGGGAGGCAGCAGUGGGGAAUCUUAGACAAUGGGCGAAAGCCUGAUCUAGCCUGCCGCGUGAGUGAUGAAGGCCNUAGGGUUGUAAAGCUCUUUCACCUGGGAUGAUAAUUGACCGUACC
rnacentral:rRNA from 1 species